AUUGAACGCUGGCGGCAGGCCUAACACAUGCAAGUCGAACGAGUGGCGGACGGGUGAGUAAUGUCUGGGAAACUGCCUGAUGGAGGGGGAUCACUACUGGAAACGGUAGCUAAUACCGCAUACCAUCAGAUGUGCCCAGAUGGGAUUGGCUAGUUGGUGGGGUAACGGCUAACCAGGGCGACGAUCCCUCGCUGGUCUGAGAGGAUGACCAGCCACACGGUAACUGCGACACGGUCCAGACUCCGACGGGAGGCAGCAGUGGGGAAUAUUGCACAAUGGGCGCAAGCCGGAUGCAGCCAGGCGGCGUGUAUGAAGAAGGCCUUCGGGUUGUAAAGUAAUGGCAGCGGGGAGGCGUUACCCGCAGAAGAAGCACCGGCUAACUCCGUGCCAGCCGCCGCGGUAAUAC
rnacentral:rRNA from 1 species